CCUGUCUGGAGCUCUACCGUCCGGGGUUAGGGUCCGAUCGGUCGCCUUGUUCUUCUUCUCCAUUGCCUCUUCUGCUCCGCUGAUAUCCUGAAAAUAUGUGCUAGAGUCUCAACAGCGCGUCUGACCUACAUGGACACUCAAUAACAACACCAUACUCUUCAUCACCACUGCUGCCGAUCAGGAUUUCCCGGCCUUGGGAUGGACGGCUGAUGUAUCAUCUAGGUGUCGAUCUAUCAUCCUCUUGUGAAAAUACCAGAUACUCCUGAGCCAGAUGGAUGACCUUCAUGAGCUCGCGGCCCCAAGUCACGGGAGCUUUCCCCUGGAUCGCAUAGGACGCAAACAGUGCCGUGGUCAUGGCGCCUAGGAAUCCUGACGCCAAGAGUGACACCACAAGUCACUACACCGAAUUUGUCUACACGGACAUGUCAAACUCACCAAUUAAGGAAGAAGUAUAUACUUGUUAUUGGUGAAAUGCAAUUAGAGAUGCUUAACAGUUUAUCAGCAGAAGAAUAAUCAACCUGCAGUUUGAUAAGAUUUGUGUGGGCAGGUUAGCGACUGCCGACAUUGUCACCUGUGGGGUGGUUGUGGGUCAUCCUGCCGAUCUCAAUGCUGACCUCCACCAGGCUGUCUAUUCUCUCAGGUUGCCAGUAUCUCAUACCCACACACAUGGCCUUGGCAGCUGCCCCGAAACCAGACCCUGGACACAGACACAUGUGCACACAUCCAGACACACAUUUUCAUAUGCUUAAAUGUUGGAAAAAAAAAAAAAACAAUAUAUAAAAUCUCCAAUGACCCUUUUCAUUGAAGGGUGUAUGCCAGGCGAGCAGGAAGUUGUGAGGUUUGAGGUGAACGCAGCCCUCCACUGUGGCAGGAUCAGGGGCUCUGCCCUGGAGAGACACCAUGGCUUCAACAUAGAGACGCACCAGCUCCCGGUACAGAUCCUCCAGACACCAGUAAUCUGGACACACACACACAGUGACUGAGAGUCAUUCAUGAUUGGCAUGCAAGUCGAGAUGAGUGGUGCUGCGGUGGGCUAAGUUUAGCCUCAGCCUGCCACGCCACAGAUUAGGACCAGCAUGCCAUCGAGGCGAGUGGAGUCACUUCCACACAGCAUGAGGUCAACUGGGAUCCACGAGCAGACCCCACAGCCGUCCUGCUAGAAUUUAGUUUACGUGUGUACUGUAUGUGUCUGCGUACAGUAUGUGACAGAGAGAGACAAACUUCUUCUUUCUUUGUUCUCUGCCUCAGAUAAGAAUGUGUAGCCCUAUAUCUGUUGUUAAUAUUUACCCUGUUAUUCUGUACGCUGGUAAGAAGAUUGGCAAAGCAAACACUGACAUUCACAACUUCCAUUCCACUCCAUGAGUUGUGUGUGCGAGUAUGUGUACAGGCAUGCUGGAUUGCGUCUAAAUAGGGCUUCCUAAUCUCAAUAGAUGUCACCACCAUUGCACAGUGCCGCUGUCAUUGGCUUUGAGCCGCAUCUGCAGCCAAACAUGAUACCGGUAGAUUAUGGAGGAGUCUGACCUGCUAUUGUUCAGUAAAGGAGAGCUGAGGAUCAGCUUUUUUCAAAGUAGUCUAUUUUGGACUUUUCUGUCCCGGCAACUCCUGGCCGCUCUGCGGGGGAGCUUGAGAUGACAUUUGAGUAAUCUGUAGUUAGGCUUCUACUGACAUUUUAUCUUUGAUGAUCAUGUGGCAAUGAUUGAUUACGAUAUGGCCGCACGUUGUCAUUCAAAGACGGCCUGCCAGUUAGUGAUUAGCAGCUUCCUUUGACUGUAUGAAACUAUUCUGGUCCUCUUAAAUGUAGACUGUGUCUAUAUUUUAUUGAACAGAUAAAAAAUGAAAGAUUUUGUGUGAAGUUAGACAGCAGGCAAUGAGUGUCUACUCUUGCUAUGAUUUCCACUCUCUAAUCUUCCUCUUUGACAAUGAUCAAUCCUAAACGUACCUGUUACCAGUGCUUCUGCUGUGGUGAUGUGCAUCAGCGUUGCAUCACUCAGGGGCCAGUUAUCAGGGUCCAGUUUCUGGGCCCCAAGUCCCCCCAGAGAGGCCAGUUCCUCUUGGAUCUUCUUGCCUGAGAUGCAGCCCUCCCAACGGCCCUUUCGGUAGCCCAAGGAAUCGCCAACGGCACCCAGAACCAUUCCUGCCUUGAAUUUCUCCAUACUGUGCUCCGCUCACCCAGCUGAAAAAGUUCUUCUCCUGGGAUUUAGAUUGGCUCCUUUCAGCUGUACUUUUUCUUCACCACCUUCAGCAGACUCAGUGUCAUAGAACAAUGCAAACUGAACAAACUCUCUUGCCCCAAAACAUCCUGAAGAACUUCAAACAGCCUCACCAACUCUCCCAAAAAGAUUUCCGCUUGACGUGGAGCUAUUAUAGACCUCUGUCUCCACUACAUAACAAGCUCUGCCACCUUCCCACCCUCAGAGCUCUCGUCUAGUUUCUCAUCAGUUGUCUCACACACAAACACGCACUCUCCUUUCCAGGGGCGGGUGCACGCACGCACACGCACACUCACGCACACAGACGAAAGCAUUGCGUUAUCAGCCACAGCUUCUUUGUGUUGGGCAGCGGGGAGUUUCAGCUGUGAUCAGGUGUCUCCUAAAAAGGCAAUCCCCAUGGCCCCAAAGCCUCAAAGCUGGAUGGCUGGGUGUGGAGUGGUAAUGGGAAGAGAUGCUAAUGUACUGCUGGGCUGGAGCGUCAGCUGGUGCUGGACCUUGUUGACAUCCCAACCGGCCCCCAUGGGAGGAGGGUAAGAAUGGAGCAUCAUCUCCGCUCCACUUGCUUGCCUCCUCCUUUAUUGAAGCUCUCCAGUCUUUACAUCACUAUUUGAAAUGUCUUUGUUAGUCACCUCCUUCCCUGACAUCAGAUAAUCUCCUCUCCAGUUAUGCACACUGCAUCCAAGAGUUCCCCUCCCUCUCAGUUUCUUUAAUCUUCAUCUAAUGUCUCGAUUGUAACCCUUUUGACACAAUCAGUUGUCACCAACCCUUCAUUUAUUAAGUGUAUCUGUUGGUGAAUGUCACCCUGAACAUACCCAGAGUAACAGUAGACAAAGCUUUACCAGAGGAGCCCAUGAUGAUGAGGAUAUGCAGCAGGAAUGCAACCUGAUAAGGGACAACUGUCACCAAGGUGACAUUUUACAUACACUCGCUAACACACACACAGUAGGGCAGUGGUUCUCAGCAGGAAUAUGGGAAUUGUUUUUGUUUCAUUCCUUAAUGCCAUUACAUUGUUCCAUCUCUCUUCUGGGCUUCUAUUGGAAAUAAAGAACUUCUGCAGAGUAUCAUAAAUGGCUGACUGAACUCCACGUGAUCAUGUGGUCGCCCCUUAUAACAUAUAAACAUUUUAGAUCUACAGAAUACUGCUAUCCAAUACACAUUUUCUAAAUAAAAACUAACAAAAUAAG